GCUUGAUUAGUGUAGUGGUAUCAUGUAUCUUUCCCAAGGAUGCGACACGGGUUCGAUUCCCGUAUCAAGCA